rnacentral:rRNA from 1 species
AGAGUUUGAUCCUGGCUCAGAUUGAACGCUGGCGGCAGGCCUAACACAUGCAAGUCGAGCGGAAACGAGUUAUCUGAACCUUCGGGGAACGUUAACGGCGUCGAGCGGCGGACGGGUGAGUAAUGCCUGGGAAAUUGCCCUGAUGUGGGGGAUAACCAUUGGAAACGAUGGCUAAUACCGCAUAAUAGCUUCGGCUCAAAGAGGGGGACCUUCGGGCCUCUCGCGUCAGGAUAUGCCAGGUGGGAUUAGCUAGUUGGUGAGGUAAGGGCUCACCAAGGCGACGAUCCCUAGCUGGUCUGAGAGGAUGAUCAGCCACACUGGAACUGAGACACGGUCCAGACUCCUACGGGAGGCAGCAGUGGGGAAUAUUGCACAAUGGGCGCAAGCCUGAUGCAGCCAUGCCGCGUGUAUGAAGAAGGCCUUCGGGUUGUAAAGUACUUUCAGCAGUGAGGAAGGUGUUGUCGUUAAUAGCGGCAUCAUUUGACGUUAGCUGCAGAAGAAGCACCGGCUAACUCCGUGCCAGCAGCCGCGGUAAUACGGAGGGUGCGAGCGUUAAUCGGAAUUACUGGGCGUAAAGCGCAUGCAGGUGGUUUGUUAAGUCAGAUGUGAAAGCCCGGGGCUCAACCUCGGAAUUGCAUUUGAAACUGGCAGACUAGAGUACUGUAGAGGGGGGUAGAAUUUCAGGUGUAGCGGUGAAAUGCGUAGAGAUCUGAAGGAAUACCGGUGGCGAAGGCGGCCCCCUGGACAGAUACUGACACUCAGAUGCGAAAGCGUGGGGAGCAAACAGGAUUAGAUACCCUGGUAGUCCACGCCGUAAACGAUGUCUACUUGGAGGUUGUGGCCUUGAGCCGUGGCUUUCGGAGCUAACGCGUUAAGUAGACCGCCUGGGGAGUACGGUCGCAAGAUUAAAACUCAAAUGAAUUGACGGGGGCCCGCACAAGCGGUGGAGCAUGUGGUUUAAUUCGAUGCAACGCGAAGAACCUUACCUACUCUUGACAUCCUCAGAAGCUUGUAGAGAUACGAGUGUGCCUUCGGGAACUGAGAGACAAGUGCUGCAUGGCUGUCGUCAGCUCGUGUUGUGAAAUGUUGGGUUAAGUCCCGCAACGAGCGCAACCCUUAUCCUUGUUUGCCAGCACUGCGGUUGGAUCACCUCCUU